rnacentral:rRNA from 1 species
UGGGGAAUUUUGGACAAUGGGGGCAACCCUGAUCCAGCAAUGCCGCGUGUGUGAAGAAGGCCUUCGGGUUGUAAAGCACUUUUGUCCGGAAAGAAAACGUCGUGGUUAAUACCCGUGGCGGCUGACGGUACCGGAAGAAUAAGCACCGGCUAACUACGUGCCAGCAGCCGCGGUAAUACGUAGGGUGCAAGCGUUAAUCGGAAUUACUGGGCGUAAAGCGUGCGCAGGCGGUCCGCUAAGACAGAUGUGAAAUCCCCGGGCUUAACCUGGGAACUGCAUUUGUGACUGGCGGGCUAGAGUAUGGCAGAGGGGGGUAGAAUUCCACGUGUAGCAGUGAAAUGCGUAGAGAUGUGGAGGAAUACCGAUGGCGAAGGCAGCCCCCUGGGCCAAUACUGACGCUCAUGCACGAAAGCGUGGGGGAGCAAACAGGAUUAGAUACCCUGGUAGUCCACGCCCUAAACGAUGUCAACUAGUUGUGGCGUUCUUCAUUGACUGGUAACGUAGCUAACGCGUGAAGUUGACCGCCUGGGGAGUACGGUCG